AUCGAAAUAAAUACCCAAACGAUCGCAUCUGAUGCAAAUGGCACAGCCUUUUUGGACGCAUUUCUUGUGGUUUUACUGUUUGCUAUUGCAUUUGGGUUUCUCUCGCGCGCCGCUAGACCCUGCUUUCUCGAGCAAUCAGCACGAACCCAUUCUUGUUUGCUUGAGGGUUUUAAGGUAUUCAAUCCAAUCGUUGAACUGUUAGUGAAGGUUUUAGUGCUAGAAGGGUCUUUUAUCAUUGUGGGACAAUUCAAUAGCUGUUGGCAUUUGCAUUGGAAUUGUAGGAAGCAUUGCCGUGAUAGUCCAAUGUACGGCCUGUGUUACGCGAUACCUGUGUAUUUAGGUUGGUAGUACCGCAUCAGGAAGAGUUGAAGUUGAAGCACUCACUCUGAGUUUACAAGGCAGUAUGGGAUUCGAUAAUGAGUGUAUACUGAACAUUCAAUCCCUUGCUGGAGAGUACUUUUGUCCUGUUUGUCGUCUACUGGUAUACCCAAAUGAAGCAUUACAGUCACAGUGCACUCAUCUAUAUUGCAAACCCUGUUUGACUUAUGUUGUGAGCACUACCCGGGCUUGUCCUUAUGAUGGCUACUUGGUGACAGAAGCAGAUUCCAAGCCACUUCUUGAAUCAAAUAAGGCUCUUGCUGAAAUUAUAGGCAAAAUAGUAGUUCAUUGUCUAUAUCACAGGAGUGGAUGCACAUGGCAGGGACCUUUAUCUGAGUGCACAUCUCAUUGUUCUGGGUGUGCAUUUGGCAAUUCUCCUGUUGUGUGCAACCGGUGUGGAAUCCAGAUUGUGCAUCGUCAAGUACAGGAGCAUGCACAAAAUUGUCCUGGUGUGCAGCCACAAGGACAGCAGUCAGAGGUUACAACAGACACAUCAUCUGCUGGCACAGCAACUACUGCUGAUCAGACCCUGACCACUCAAGUGGCAGCAGUGUCAGCUCAAUCUCAGACUUCUCAAAGUACAGUUACCACAACACCUGGACAGGAUUCCAGUCAGCAAGCCAACUCAAGCUCUCAAACUCAAGCAGCUGUGCCAACUGCUGAGCAGUGGUAUCAACAACAACAACAGCAACAAUAUCAACAGUACUAUCAGCAAUAUCCUGGAUAUGAUCCAUAUCAACAGCACUAUCCUAGCUACCAUCCCUAUCAACAGGCAGCUGUUCCCCAAUACCAGCAACAGCAUCUGCAGGCUCAAGCACAACAAGUGGCUGGACAGCAUCAACCUCAGGUGUACAUGCAGCCUCAACCUCAAUCUCAACUACAGCCCCAACAACUUGUUCAGCCUCAAUCUCAGAACCAACCUCAAUCUCAAGUACAGCCUCAACCCCAGCCACAGCCUCAGGCGCCACAAGUUCAGGUUUCUGUGCCUGCUCAACCCCAGAACCAGGCUCAAGGCAACCCACAGCUGCAAGUACUCACUAUGGUGCCUUCGCAAACCCAAUCACAGACUUAUCCGCCAGCUCAUGGUCAUCCAAAUCCUCAACCUCAGCCAUACUCCCAACCACAGCCUCCUCAACAUGGUCAAAUUCCUCAGUAUCAGCAGCUUCAUCCUCAGAUGCAACAUCCCCCUCAAGUUCAACAACAGACCCAACAACCACAGAUCCUGCCGCAGCAUAAUCCUCCUUCUCAAGCUCAGCCACAAGGACAGCUUCAACAUCCUCCUCAAUUCCAUCUUCCUCAGCCCAAUCGACCCCCAAAUGCUAAUAUCCAGCCUCAGGCACAGCAUCCAUCUGCCCAGGCUGUGACAGGUCAUCACUCGUAUCCUCAACCUCAACCUCAUCCUCACCAGCAAAUGCAGGCUGGAACUGCACAACAGUAUCAUGUGCAUGCACAACCUCAAUUUGGGCCUGCACCUCAGUCACAAAAUGCCAGUCAUAUGCAGAGUCACUUCCCUCAGCAGCCUUUACUGAUGAGGCCACCCCAUUCUCAUGCUACAAUUCCGAGCCAGCAGCCAGCUUUAUUACCGUCACCAGGUCAAGUCCAAGAUAUCACUCCUUCAAAACAGCAGUCUGUUCAUUCUCAUUCUCAACAACCUGGACAUCCAGUGCAGCAACGUCCUGUUAUGCAGCCAGUUCAGCAACCCAUGGCUCAGCCAUAUUAUCAGCAGCCGCAGCCUUAUGCCCAACACCAGGUGGCUAUGACAUCACAGUUGCGUCACCCGGGACAGCCUCAUCCAUUCCUACAUCACACUCAUGUCUAUCCACAACCACCACCAAAUGUUGCACUAUCACAUGGCUUGCAACAUGUGCAGUCACAAAAUCCUGUAGGGAGGCCUUUGAUGCCAAAUCAAGGAGUGCAAUCUCAGCCAUAUCCACAAUCUGCUGGGGAAGUUCAGGCAAGGCCAGUGUAUGUAGGUGGAAACCAACAAUCUGCAAACCAGAAUAAUAUGCUCAAAGCAAAUGGCCAAGUUCAAUUGCCUUCUGAACAACAUUCUGGUGGAAACACUAGACCAAUAAUAUCUGAGAGGCAAGGUGAUCCUUUAUUUGAGAAAAGCUUGCCCCUGCAAGAAACUGAAGUACUUCCUCCAAAAACCGGUAAAAUUGUUGCAAAUGAUGUGGAAUCAGCACCUGGUUCGGAAGCUGAUGUGGGUGAGGUAAAAAUUGAGAAGUCUGAAACUGAUAUGAAGUUCAAGGACAAUGAACAUAAAUCCAAGGUUGAAGAUAAAACUAGUCAAAAGAAGAUUCUGCAGUCUACAGAGAUGAGCAUAGAACGUGAGUCACAUCAUAUGGAAAAUGGGGAACCUAAAAUUAGGCCAGUAAUGGAGGAAGUAAAACAUGAAAGUACCCUGACGCAUUCAACAAAUGGUAAAUCAGGGGACGUGGUAGGUGAGGACACCAAAGAUGUUCUUGAUGUAGAGACCAGACAAAGUGAGCACUCUGUUCUUGAAAAGAAGGAGAUUAUGGAUGGCUCUCAACCGAAAAAUCCUCCAUUACAAGUAGCAAAACUUCAUGAAGAACAGGGUGGGAAGUUGCAGAAGGAUCCUAUCAGUGGAUCUGAUGAGGGCUUGAAAGCUGCAUCUGCUGCUUCAGCUCCAACAGUUGGUUGUCCAGCUCAGAAUGCUUCAUCGGGAGGAACUGUUCUUGGGAAUGAAAAAAUACAGUCUAAUCAAUAUGGUUUUCUGGACAAAGGUGGCAUUGGGGAACCUUCUCAUCCACUUCCCAUGUCUGAUUCAGGAAGGCCUCACUAUGGGUCCUCUACUCUCCCACAAAGGCCUGGUGCACCUUCUUUGUUACAAGCACCUCCUCCAGGUCCUCCACAUCAAUCACAGGGGCUGGGGCACCCUCCAACUCAUUUUAGGCCUCAAGGACCAGGGCAUGUACCAGGACAGCCUUUUCACCCACCCAGUGGCACACAAGAAAGAGGCUUCACGGCAACCUUUGGAAGAGGACCUGGUCAGUAUGGCCCUGCACAUCGGAGCUUUGAUGUGCAGUCUGGUGCUCCUCCAGGGACAUACAAUCAAGGACAUGUGCCAGCGCUGCCAUUUGGUGCUGUGCCUCCAAGUGCUUUUGAUUCGCAUGGGGGAGUUAUGGCGAGAGCAAUUCCUCAUGGUCCUGAAGGUCGGAUGAGUUUACAACACCCUCCAGAUGCACUAGAACCAGAAAUGUUUCCAAAUCAAGGGCCCGAUCACAUGAAUGGUAGACGGCGUGAUCCUUUUAUCCCUGGGUCUUUGGAACAGGGAAGUCUUGCACAGCCAUCCAGCAUCCACCAAAAUCUGAUGAGAAUGAAUGGGACUCCAGGUUUUGAUUCCUCAUCUACACUUGGUUCAAGGGAUGAAAGGUUUAAGCCAUUGCUGGAUGAACGAUUAAAUUCUAUGCCAUUGCCACCAGGUCCAGAUCGUCGUGGUUUUGAUCAUGCAGAGUUUGAAGAUGAUCUAAAGCAGUUCCCUGUUCUUGAUGCUGAGCCUAUUCCCAAAUUCAGGAAUAUAUCUUCUAGACCCUAUGAUAGGGGACCCCCUGAGGGAAAGUAUGAUGCUGGUUUGAAAUUGGAUCCUGGGACUGGGUCCACUUCUUCUAGAUUCUUGUCCCCCUACCAUCGUGGAGGUGCCUUACAGGCCAAUGAGGUAGGAGAGAGACCAGUUGGCCUUCAUGAAGAUAUUAUUAGGAGAGCAGAACCUAAUCAUGGCCAUCCAGAUUUUUUUGGUCCUGUUCCUGCAUAUGGUCGUCAUCAUAUGGAUAGUUUGCCGCCACAAAGUCCAUCUCGAGAAUACCCUGGUAUCUCUUCACGUGGUUUUGGAGGUUCUGGAUAUGAUGAUUUCGAUGGCAGGGAAUUACAUCGAUUCGGUGAACCUGUUGGCAAUGCAUUCCAUGAAGGGAGGUUUACCAUGUUACCUGGCCAUCUGCGCAGGGGUGAGUUUGAGGUUCCUGGAAACAUGCGAAUGGGUGAGCAUUUCAGGAGUGAUUUCAUUGGUCAAGAUAACCUGCCUAGUCAUCUUCGGAGGGGAGAGCACUUGGGUCCUCAUAACUUGCAUGGUCAUUUGCACUUUGGGGAGCCAGUUGGUUUUGGCGGCCACCCUCGUCACGCACAGAUUGGGGGAAUGGCUGGGCCUGGGAGUUUUGAGUCAUUUGCUGGAGGUAAUAGACCAAGUUAUCCUCGUCUUGGUGAGCCUGGGUUUAGGAGCAGCUUUUCACUUCAAGGGUUUCCAAAUGAUGGUGGAUCUUACACAGGAGACAUGGAGUUUCACAAUUGGAGGAAGAGAAAACCUGCUAGCUCAGGAUGGUGUCGAAUCUGUAAAGUUGACUGCGAAACAGUUGAAGGCUUGGACUUGCAUUCACAAACAAGAGAGCACCAGAAGCUGAGUAUGGAUAUGGUACUGAGCAUCAAGCAAACGGCAAAGAAACAGAAAUUAACAUCUGGUGAUCAUUCAUCACUUGGAGAUGCAAGCAAGUCAAGGAAUGCUGGUGCUGAGGGACGUGCGAAAAAUAAUUAGUUAUUGAUGAUGCUGCAAUGUGGAUCUCUCUAGUUUCGAUUGACUUGGGGUUGAAUUUGUUUCUUUGAUAUAUGCCAUUAGCAUAUAGGUGAUUCACCCUUCCCUGCCUCUUUCUCUACUUUUGGGGUUGGUUUAUGCUAGUUUUGUCAUUUCAGGUUGCUGCCAUGUUAAUGGAGAUGGUUUAUGGAACAGAAGUUCAGUGGCAAUCUUUUCAAUUCGACCUGUCAUUUUUUGGGCGAAGAAGACAACAUAAAGGCUGAAAGUUCAGUGGAAAGGUUUACACGAUCAUCUAUUUUAAUGUGGUAAGAUUGUGUUAAGUGUACAGAUUUUGUUUGUGGCGGUGUUUACUGCUUAGUAUUUAUUUUGCAAAAUUGGAGAUGUGUUGGGCAUUUUGUUUGUUUCUUUAGAUACAUAUGAUUAAGUACUGUUUUCCAAAUGACUAGGGCAGUUACUUAUCAGUUUUGUUAUCUUAGAUGCUUUGCAAAGAAUGCUUGGCUCACAUUCCACCUUUAGGCAUUAGUUUUUUCUAUAAUUUUUUAGAUCAUACUUGAAAUUACUACUCUUUUUAUCUUUUUCAGAAAUUAAACUGGUGCUCUUUUAUCUGUUUCUAGAAAUUUCUGACAUGCUUUUCAACUCUCUUGGUUAGUUAGCUUAUUCUUAGGAAGAAGCUGAAGAAUGCAUUAUGUUGGAUAAUGUGUUGGACACUAUAGCCUUAGCUUAAUUGUUGUGUGUGGGAAUUACCAGUUUGAGGAAUGAAUUUAUACGCUGAGACUUUGACCAUGUAUCUACAAAUCAGUUGUCAUUUAAAUUUGACAAAACAGAUCUUAAAUUUGGGAGUUGCUUUUUAUUACACUUUUGACUUCCUUAGUGAAACAAUUAGUAAUUAUGAAGGAGACAGUAGUCUGCUAUUUGAACUCUAGACACUAGCUGGAUAAAAUUUGUUUUAGUCACAUAGAAGGCUAUAAGUCUGUUAAAAAUAAUUUACAUUUUACAUUGUCUUCUUUGAGGAGUUCAAAUCAUGUUAACCGAUGGUGGUAUUAUUGGUGGGUGCAUUAAGUUUUGUUGAAUUCGUAUCUUUUGAUUGUUGGAGCCACUCAUAUCUAGGUUUUUUUUUUUUUUUUUUUUUUUUUUUUGGGAGGAAUAAAAUAAAUUGUAUAAAUGGAGGUUUUGUCUGUUUGUGCUAGAUAGGCAUAUUGCACUUAUACAAAUUGUUGUGCUUGUCUUUUGGACAUGUCAAACCUGACACUUAACUCGAAUCCUUUUAUUUAUAUAUAUUUUUUCAAAUACUGGUAAACCAUCUAGCAAGCAGGAAAUGCUAUGGUUAUUUAUCUUUUUUAUAUGUAGUGUUAUCCAUUAAGCUAUAAUAACAUUAGAAUAGACUCAAAUCAUGGUAAAAUUUGAAUAGUAAAUUUGGAUUGCCACCCCUCAACUGUGGUUUAACUUCUCGUUAGCAUAAAUGCUUACAGAGGAAUACUAUUGAUUCAAAUAUAUCAUAAUGAUUGAUUUUUUCUUGGUGUAAGCUUUUAUUUGUCUUGUAAUUUCAAUCACCAAACCUAAGAAUUACAUGUAUAGUUAGUUUCUGGUAUCAACUAAUUUGGUAAUCCAAAUUUGAAAUUUCUACAUCUCUGGUUGAGUAGAUAUAAACCUCUCUGCUCAUGAUGUUUGUUCAUAAUUCCUUUAUAACAACUAACAUAAUUGACUACUAUAUGACCUUGACUCAUACAUUUUUCUUCUGCUGGCUCUCACAUUAUGUAUUCCAUUAAAGAUCUCCAAUGGUUCAUGAAAGUUUCCAUCCUUUUGUAUUGCUUGGGCUUCCAUUGUAGUUAAUGAGCUGCAUUCUUAAUGUUGGAUGGGAGUUCUGCACUUCAAAUCCUGCUUUGUUGUUUUUGUACCAGGUUUGUGUCUUUUUUUAAAGUUUUUUACUUUUGGCAUUUCAGUUUUGUGUUAUGAUGUGAAUCCUAGAGUGAUAUGUUUUUUUUUCAGCUGUUUUUUCAAUCUGGUUUUAAUUUUAUUUUUGCCUUUAAGUUGCAUAACUGAUUGCCUUUUGUUUUGCUACAUUUAUGUCUAUCAAUGUCUUGUAUGUUUAAAACAAAUAUAGUUUGUCAAGUGGCUUAUUUUUCCAAAUUCUAACCAACAAGUUUAUGAUGAAGGACGGUUUCUUCUUAUCCAUUUUUCAUUUGUCUCUGUGUAGUUAGCAUGUUAGAAUAUGGCUUGAUGGACAUGGUUGUUUCCCAAUCUUACCUCAUCAUGAUGUGUAUGUCGUAACUAAACCCUGGUAAUUAAUUACUUUAUGAGAUUUUGUUCUUAGUAUAUAUUUGGUUGACCAUAUAGUCAAAUAGAACUAACAGUGGUCUAGAUAGAUUAGAACAUACAGAAAAAGUCUCUCUCCUUACCCAUCUUCCCUCCCUGAAGAGCAAGGAUAUUCUUCUGUUUUGCUUCUAUCUAAAGGAUUGGUUGAGUGCAAUUUCCUUCUGUUUUUAGAUUUAUCAAUUCUGAUGCCUUUCCUGCUUUUCUCCUUACCCUGCAAAAAUCGUAGAAUAUGAGAAAUAAGGUUCAAUUUGAAAUAUAGUCUCAUUGGAAUAAGUAUUAUUGCCACCAAUUAUUUAAGAUCUUUUGAUUUAGUGCUUUUUGUUAAUUUGAGAAUAAUAAUGUUCUUUAAUCACUUCAUUUUCUAAUUUUUGGAACUUCAUAUUUUUUUUUUGGGGGGAAAAAAAAUGUAGUUUUGGAGUUGCUUCAAAGUUCUUUCAGUGUUUAGUUACCAGGGACGAUUUUAUUGGUGUCUAUCGAAGUUUGAUAAUUGUAGGGGGUUUAUAUCAUUUAUAGUUUUUAAAUUUUAUCUAUUAGCUCCUUUCUUUUAUUUUAUUAUUAUUUUUUGUUUUUUUGGGCUACUGUCGGUCAUAUGUCUAUUUGAAUGUUCUAAUAUUUAAUCCAUUAUUCAUUUCAAGUCUUCCUUAUUAGCUUUAGGAAGGUGCUUGGUAUUUUGAUCUAUCAAUUUUGUUUACCUUAAACUUCGCAUCCCGUUGUCAUUGUAAGUCAGAUUUUUUUAUGUAAGAUCUAUUGUUUUUGUUUUGCUUUUCCUUUAUUUUACAACAUUUCUAGAGUAGUAGGUGGCAAAGGCAUAGGUUUGAACGACUUAUAGAUACAAUACGGACACUGCUAUUUCUUUAAAAAGUGGGUCAAAAAGCAAUUUUUGGUUUGAAUGUGAGGUUUUUGAUUGCUAUUCCUCUUGAAAGGUUUUAAUGAGCAAGACGGUUUGUAUGUUAGCGUUUGCUUUCAUAGUGCUCCAUAAAUAGUUGUCAAUAUUUGUGCAAUUAUAGAGUUUCUUUAGGUAAUAGAGUUGGAAGGGAAGGUGCUGAAUUCGUGUUCUGUAGAAAACUAUCCAAAAGUUCACCAAUACAACAAGAGUAGGCAUAUUUGCACAAAUUAUAGAGACUAAAAUAGUCACUCUUUUCUUUUAGAAUUUUGAGAGCAAGUGGUGGUUGUUGAAUGGCAUAAACGAGGAAUGCCCUUCUAUUUAUUUGUAGAUAUUUGUGGAUCAUGAAUAUAAUGCUAUAAUAUAUAUAUAUAUAUAUAUAUAUAUAUUUGUGAAACAUAUGUUUGGUUGAAAUGGAUUGUAAAUAGGAAUAUAAUCAAAAUUGAAAGAACUUUUUUUUUUUUUUCCUUUCCCUUUUGGUGGUGAAUAUUGAAAGGAGAACUAUUGAUGAAUGGAAUGAAUGAAAAAAAAAAAAAAAUUUGAUUUCAUUGUUUGGUUGACUCUAGUAAUUAAUUGUGGAUCAAAAUUUCUGAAACUAAGACGUCAAAUUUAUUUGAUUAUCAAUAUUAGUUUGACAAAAAUGCCCCUAACGAUAAAUUUUAUUAGUGAAGUUAAUUAGACUGUAUAUAUCUUUAAAGAAAGAAGAAAGUGUGAAGAAAAAACCUAGGGAGAUUAGAAAAAUAAUCUAAAGGGUAAUUAAGCAGUAGCUGGGUAAUUUUUUUCACUAAAUAGAAAAAAUCGGUGACUAGGUAAUUUAUAGAUUUUUUAACAAUUCUAGCUGACAAUGAAAAGGGCAUUCUAAUAGAACUCCAUUCCAAGGCUACUUACGAAACAUUGGGGGGGAAAAAAAUUUAAAAAAAAAAAAAAAAAAAAAAUUUAAUGCAGACAGAGGUUGGUGGGGUUUACGGGAUUAGUGGAAAAAUGGGGGUCAUAUUUGAUGCCUAGGGUGUGCUACUAAACUAGGAUAUGCCCUCCUGUGCUUUACUUUUGCUAACGUUUUCUUGAAGCACUCACUGCUGGUUUGGUGGGUCCCUCCAAGUUGGUGACGAUGAGAUGGAAGAUUUUUCUUGGCACGGAUCUCUAUGCUUCAGAAGUGACUAUUGCUCACUCUGUUAUUUCCCUUAUUUAUUUUCAUUGCUUUGAACACAUAUGUAUAUAUAUUUUGUAAAAACAUUACUAAAAUUUCUCAGCUUAAUGAUAGAUUUCUUCAGUUCUUCUCGUA